CUCUUCUCCUCUUGUCUGUUUGCCCAGCUCCUGUUCUGGCACGACACUGGCCCCCACUCCCUAUCAGCAACUCUUCCACCUCCUGGCUAAUCUACCUGAACAGCACGCUUUCAAUCAAAACGGCUCUCAGAGACUGAAAUCUACCCCCCGCCUGUUCGAAGCCUCCAGUGGUCGACCUUUCUUUUCUCAGAGUCCUUCAUGUUUGCAGCUCCACCGGAGGCCUGUCAGGAUUCAUACAUCAGGCACCUGCAGCGGGGAUCGCUGUGCCCAUCACAUGUGACAGGGGAGCACGCUGAGGACAAGACGCAGAGAGAAUCCCAAUUUCAGCGGCGGUGGACGGCCCGGGUGAAGUGGGAUAGACGGGCUGUCAGGGCGGAUGGCAGGUGGUGUUUCAUUUGUAUGCAGUGUGUUUGAGGAGAAGCUGAAAUGUUUCAUCUCAUCUGUCUGACGUUUCUGUUCUCUAAACAGAGGCAGCCGCUCUGUAUCCACCAUAUGUUGUUAGGGAGGAGACACACGUCUCUCCAUGUGGAUCUGAACAUGAAUAUGACUGACACGUCAUCAACAU